UAGUCUAACCUAAUGGGUGAAACCUAUGAAACUUGGUACACUGCUACAGGGGUACCACUCUAUUCCCACUGAGUGAUUUUGGCGCUGAUACACCACUCGAGGAAAUUGGAGGAUGGAUAAUGACAGAGCACAAGUGAAAACAUUGAGCAAGGACACUGCACAACCUUGACAACCAUGGCGAAGUUCUCACUCGGUGCCAUCUGCAAGAAGUACCUGCUGAUGGAGCAGGUGAAUGGCUGAGGACAUUUCAAUGGUUGGAUGGCUAUUUUGUCUUGCUCUCCCUGUUUUGGAGCGUGACAAACAAAUUCAAUCAAGUCCCGCUUGGUUGACCUCUUCGACUGGCAAAGUCAAAGCCGUGGCUGUAAAGAAUGAGAAAUCAUUAACGCUGUCUUCAAUUCAUCUGCCAAAGUUAAGGGUUGACCUUAAAGUGGGAAGACUGGAUUGGCCCUUGAGUGUUUAAAGAUUAGCAGGUGCUGUGUAAUGAUGAGCCAGCCCCGGGGCUAAAGUGUGUGGAGACACAGGAUCGCAGUCAAAAUGAGCGCGACGUCAUCGCUCGCAGGCCUGAAGGAUCUGGCUCAGGGCCCACUGAACAGCGAGAACCAUUGAACCACGUAUGGAUUUGAACUGGUUGGCCUGGUUACCAGGGACAUUACGCCACUAACCGCCAGGAGCACAAAGCAAACAACACCUGCGUUCUGCGAAGCAGUAGUUUCCGGGACUGCCACCCAGACGAAUCGACCCGUGCCAAAACUGGUCUGAUUUCACGAAGUCGGUUCCACCCGACCUGUCUUCUUUUGAACGUAAAAAGAAAAAUAGAAAAAUGGGGUGGCUUGCAAGCAACGUUCCAGUUUCAGCAUACAUCAAGCAGAACCAAUAGCAGAACAGGGAAUGGGGAUAGUACACCACUGGUCAAAGGUGUCAGAUGACACAGGUAACCCUGUAUACUUGUAGAAGAAAAACAGAAUCAGGUCACUGAACCUGUGGCAUCGGCUGAUGUCCAUGGGAAUGGUCAGGUGACAGGAAACGAGAGAGCCGGUUUAUGUCUC